CAAGCACACGCCGCGUAUAUGUAUGUAUGUGUGUGUAUAUAUAUAUAUAUAUAUAUAUAUAUAUAUAUAUAUAUAUAUAUAUAUAUAUAUAUAUAUAUACACACACACACAUAUACACUGCUGUGUGUGUGUG